GCCAUCGUAGCGCAAAGGUUAGCACGUCCGCCUAUGACGCUGAACACCUGGGUUCGAAUCCUGGCGAGGCCA
rnacentral:tRNA from 1 species